rnacentral:lncRNA from 1 species
AACUAAAUUCAGCAGUGACAUAUGUACAAUAUAGCAUAUGGAUCAGACCUUGUUAACUUUGCAUUUGACAUGAGUGCCAUGUUGAAAAAAUGCAGGAGCAUAAACUNGAAGGAUCGUUGGGUGGAAAUCAAUUGAAAUGUUUAUGAGGGCAGAAAGGCAAGAUACUGCACAUCAACAUAGUGGAGAGUUAAAAGGGAUAAAGAUUCUCUCUCUGUCCAUACCUGUUACUUGAAGCUAUCAAGUGUAGGUCUGGAAUCAAGCAUCACAGUAAUUGCUCUUCUCCAGAGUCAGCAGGAACUAAAUUCAGCAGUGACAUAUGUACAAUAUAGCAUAUGGAUCAGACCUUGUUAACUUUGCAUUUGACAUGAGUGCCAUGUUGAAAAAAUGCAGGAGCAUAAACUCUCCAGAUGAUAAAGAAUGCCAUCAACUCUCUUUCCCCAAAUAGCUCGAUGGCAUCUCCUUCCAGGCAUGAUGAUGAAUCAGUAGCUGCCACAACUGUUUCAGUGAAGAGUUCCAGUAUUUCAGUGCUAUCCAAUGAGAAUAUGGAAGCAAGCAGGCAAAAGGAAGUGACAGGUCUAUGCCCAGGACUUCAGACUCUCUUUGGGGAAGGAAUGACCACUUUUCUCCCUACUAAGCCUGGAUACUUAUUCUCCAUUAAGACCAACACCUGGAAAGAUUUCAGCUUGGAAAGUAUGUCCAUUUUUGUGCAUGUAAAACCAGUCUCCCUAUCUUUUUUAAAAAAAAAAGUUAAUUCUUUUAAUUCUCACAUAACUCAAAAGUGGCUGAACAGAUUUUGCUUAGACUUUCCAAAGAAAAAUCCAUCACUUGAGUUGGAUUCAAGCAAUGAAAAUUUCUGAAGAUGUCUUCCACAAAGUUUAGAACAUCUGAAAGUUCUAAUGGAAUGCUGAAUGCAACCUUACAGUAAGAUUAGCCUCAGAAAAGUGACCAUAAAAAUAGCCUUGUGCAGUUACAGGAUUAUUGUACUCUUAAUGACAGGCACUGCUGACUCUUAAACCUGGCAUUUCUUCAGUGAUUGACUUUGCAUUCUUACUGUUCUUUCAUUUUGGGUUUUUUUGUUUGUUUUUGAUUUAAUCAUAUAUAUUUUUAUGGGCAUUGUGAAAGAUGAUAACCAAUAGGUUAGUUCAAUGGUCCUUGACAUGUAGUCCAUGGAGCCAUGUCAGUCUUCAAGAAGUGAUAGGGUUUCCGGAGGCAUUUAUGGCCAACUAAACUUUAAAUAAAUCUUGAGUACCUCUCUGUACGCCA